GACCGCGUGGCUCAGUUGGAGGAGCAUUGGGCUGGUAUUCCAAAGGUCGUAGGUUCGAAUCCCCCCGUGGCCG
rnacentral:tRNA from 1 species